AUGGAUGAGCAAGGGGAGAGGGGGCUCCAGCUGCUGCUCCCCGCAGCCGCUGCUCGGGUGCUCCGGGAAGCGCCGGCCAGCGCCGCCACCGACCACCAGCAGCUGGACCUGGACCUGUCCAUGAGCAUUGGGCCGAGGCAGCAGCAGCUGCAGCUGCAGCUGCCACGGCCGGCGCCGCCGACUCCACCGGCGAACGAGAGCAGGAGAGCAGCGGCGACUGUGGCCGCCAGCGCUGCGACGGCGAGGCACGUGCAGCAGCAGCAGCAGCAGGUGACGGUGGACGUCCGCGCCGUGAAGCAGCAGACGGCGGAGCAGGCCCGGAUGGCAUCGGCGGAGCGCGCCUACGCGGAGCGCGUCCGGGAGCUGGCGAAGCGGGAGCUGGAGCUCGCCGAGAGAGAGUUCGCGCGCGCCAGGAUGAUCUGGGAGCGCGCCCGCGAGGAGGUGGAGCGGGUGGAGCGGAUGAAGCAGAUCGCCGCCAGGCGGCUCGGCUCCGCCGCGCUCGAGAUCACCUGCCACGCCUGCAUGCAGCGCUUCCAUCCUUAA
rnacentral:rRNA from 1 species